GGCGGAUGUAGCCAAGUGGAUCAAGGCAGUGGAUUGUGAAUUCACCAUGCGCGGGUUCAAUUCCCGUCGUUCGC
rnacentral:tRNA from 6 species